rnacentral:lncRNA from 1 species
AUGUGUUUACACAGCAAAUAUGCAGGAAACCAUUGGCCGUCAGAUGACACAGACAUCUUGAAGCCACACGCCACUCACAUACCACUGAUCGUGUGUGUUUGCACGUGGAGACUAUUGUGCAAGCACUGGGAACUAUAUGUGCUGAAGGCACGGGUGCCCAAUGAAGUGUUUCAGUGGAAUUUUCAACCAGAAGCAGCUGAAAGUUUUUCCAAUUUAAUCUGCAAAUGCAGUUGGGGGAUUUUUCACAUGAAUCAACUUGUUUGGCUUGACAAACCUUCUCUGUGCUCAGUCUGGGUCUCACAAAGGUGCUCUGUGUGUAAAUUUGCAGGAGGGUGGAAGGAGGUGCAUGGAAGUUCAAGGUGA